GACGAACGCUGGCGGCGUGCUUAACACAUGCAAGUCGAACGGGGAGUUAGCAAUAACUCCUAGUGGCGAACGGGUGAGUAACGCGUAGACAACCUACCUUCUAGCUGGGGACAACACCGCGAAAGUGGUGCUAAUACCGAAUGUGUUACCGGGAGGGCAUUCUCUUGGUAAGAAAGGUGGCCUCUAUUUAUAAGCUACCACUAGAAGAUGGGUCUGCGUCUGAUUAGCUAGUUGGCGGGGUAAAGCCCACCAAGGCGACGAUCAGUAGCCGGUCUGAGAGGAUGAACGGCCACACUGGGACUGAGACACGGCCCAGACUCCUACGGGUGGCAG
rnacentral:rRNA from 1 species